GGCAACACAGGUGUGUACACAUGCGACCAUCUCUUAGAUCUGCGCUGGUGAGGCUUCAGGCGACAAAGAGAGGAGAUUCUCUGACGUGAGCGGGCGUGAGAGAUCUGGAGUGUUGGAAAGAUGCUAAAGCAGGCCAAAGUUCAAUGUGGUUGCUAAGCAACAGGCUUGUCAGUGCCUGGAGCUGAUUGUCAUGGCCUGCAGUGAUGCCAGGCAGCAUUUCUGUGCCAACCAAUGCCAACCCAUCCGCCAUCUUUAACCACGUCACACUGAACAGGACCGCUGCCGUCCUACAGAGCUGUGUAAUACUAAAGCUGUAGACAGACUGAGUCUCACAAACACAUUUAAAAAUGGGAAACACAUUAACACUCAUGUAUUGUGUCUUGGUUCUCCAACUACGGAGGCACAUGAGGGCCACACACUUCUGCAUGUCUUUUAACUCUAGAGAAAGAGAGAGACUCACAUCCGUCACAUAUGUCAGACUGUCAACCGUCACAUCUGUCCCGUUUCAUAUGCACUUUUCAAAACCUUGAGAUCUGUCUUAAGUCUCGUUCUUUAUCGAAAAGACUGGCAUGCAUUAAAAAGACAUACAGCCCUGCCUCCAUCUACAUAAUCUGCCACAUCCAAAAUGCCAAUGCAAAGGUGAAACACUGUCAAUAAUAAAAUAUUGCAAUAUGUAUUUCUAUCAGAAUAUAUAAACUGACAUGCAGUCAAAAGAGAAAGAUGCUUUAUGCUUCCAACAUGUAGUUAAAACACCUGCAAGCAGGAGAUAACUAGACCCUGCUAACUUACCCACACUCUCUCUCUCUCUAGUGCCUCUCUGUGGUAGGGUGGAGUACUGCAACUCUUCAACAUUUAGACUAAAGACAAAAGUAGCUGGUGAUUGAUUGUGCGAGUUAUUAUGAGUUUAUUAAUUUGGCACAGGGGUUUGUUCUUAAGUGCAAGCAAUAAAAGUGAUGCAUAGGCUUGGCAAACACCAAUAAUUAUGGCUGCCUUUACAUAUUACACUAUUUUUACUUUGCUUAUGAGCUUUCUUAAUAGUACAUAAUUAGUCAGGAUCUGUUCUGUUCCGUUGCCACAAAUGAACAUCACUGUCAUUCAACUCUUCAUGGUAAUGUGGUUCUGGUGCAUCUCCGAGAUCUUGCCUUUAACUCUCAGCCAAAUCGUGUCUCACUUCAGACAGCUUAAAAACUAGUCACCGUGGUCCAAGAAGCUGUUGGA